GACGAACGCUGGCGGUGUGCUUAACACAUGCAAGUCGAACGGAAAGGCCUCUUUCGGGGGGUACUCUCGUGGCGAAAGGGUGAGUAACACGUGAGUAACCUGCCCUUGACUUUGGGAUAACUUCAGGAAACUGGGGCUCAUACCGGAUAUGAGCUCCUGCUGCAUGGUGGGGGUUGGAAAGUUUCGGCGGUUGGGGAUGGACUCGCGGCUUAUCAGCUUGUUGGUGGGGAAGUGGCUUACCAAGGCUUUGACGUGUAGCCGGCCUGAGAGGGUGACCGGCCACAUUGGGACUGAGAUACGGCCCAGACUCCUACGGGAGGCAGCAGUGGGGAAUAUUGCACAAUGGGUGGAAGCCUGAUGCAGCAACGCCGUGUGCGGGAUGACGGCCUUCGGGUUGUAAACCGCUUUCGCUCAUGACGAAGCUUUGUGUGACGGUAGUGGGUAAAGAAGCACCGGCUAACUACGUG
rnacentral:rRNA from 1 species